GAUUUCUGGGCAUCAGUUUCUGGCCGGCCACGGUUUCGUGUGUUAGUGCUUGAAGCUUUGUCCAUCCUUCCAAUCGCUAUUUACUAUUCUUCAUUGAUUGGUAAGUAGUAUUGGAUCUUUUACUUUGAAAAAAUUAGAGUGUUUCAAGCAGGCUUUAUGCUAUGAAUACAUUAGCAUGGAAUAAUAAUUUAGGACUUCGGUUCUAUUUUGUUGGUUUCUAGGACUGAAGUAAUGAUUGAUAGGGAUAGUUGGGGGUGCUAGUAUUCAGCGGCCAGAGGUGAAAUUCUCGGAUUCGCUGAAGACUAACUUAUGCGAAAGCAUU
rnacentral:rRNA from 1 species